UUGGGGCGGGGAGCAGGGGAGGACGGGGGAGCGGAGGGGGGUCAUGGGUGAGGAAGGGAAGAAUGUUGGGGAGCAGUCAUCCUGGGCCGGCACUUACAGUACUUCACGCCCACUAUCUCUCUGAUUCUCAUGGUAAUCCUAUGAGAUAUAUUUUAUUAUUAUUUUCAUCUCACAGACGGUGGAACUGUAGUUUUAAAGAGGUUACAUCAACGUGCCAGGUCACACAGCAGUGCGUGGCUGAUCCCAGCGUCCAACCCAUGUCUGUCUGACUCCAGAGCCCAGACUGUCACUACCCUCUGGACUAGGACAGGACCCCCUGCCAAGCCCGGGCAGGCCCAGGCCUGACACGCUGCAACCUGUCUGGAGUCUGUUCCGCGAGGCAGAGCGCCUGGUUGACAGCAGGCUGCUUCUCCCAGUGCCCUGAGGUCCAGGACUGAAGAUUUUCUCCCAGCUAAGAGUCAUCUCCGGGGACUCCUGAGUGAGGCCCCACCGCCAAUCAGAAGCAUAGUAACGCUGACUCCGCCUCCCCGUGUUUGGCUACAUUCCCUGGGUACCAGUCAAGGGGAAACCCUUAGACCCUCUUGCCCAGCUGUUACAACAUCCUCCUAGCUAACAUCCAAGCCUUCCCUCUCUCCCCCCUCCAUCCCUGCUACAUACACCAUCAUCAGAGUUACAUUCCCAAAGGGUAACAGUUACAGCCAGCAUUUACGAAGAACUUAUGUGCCCGGCCUUAUUCUAAGCCUUCCAAGGACAUGACUCAUGUGGUCCUUACCGCAACUCCGGGACAGAAGUACUAUUCAGCGCUCCCAUUUUACAGAUGAAGGAACUGAGGCACAGAAAGCUUAAAUAAUCUGCCCCAAAUUGCGUAGCUAGGAAACGUAGCCAGGGUUCAAAACUCUCUUCUCUAACUCCUAAAUCAAGAGUAGCAGAGGGAGGGGACAGCUCAGUGGUGGAGCGCACGCUUAGCAUGCACGGGGUCCUAGGUUCAGUCCCCAGCACCUCCACUGAAAAAAGUAAAUAAAUAAAUAAACCUAAUUACCUCCCCUCUGCAAAACAAUUAAAAAUUAAAAAUUAAAAAAUAAAAUAAACUGUAACAGUGAUCACAUUAGACUCCUUCUCGCCUCAAAAACUUUUCAGGUCCUCUCGUAUCUUUACGACCCCAAAUCUACCUUCUUAGCUUCUGCGCCUUCAAAAUCCUGUCCUAACCUACCGUCCUACUCUCGUUCUCAACCCUCACAUUCCAGUCCAAGCUGUUACUUUUUCUUCCCCAUUGUUGAGCUGGGGAAAUUUUGUCCUCAGUGUACCUUCUGUCACCAAUUUUUGCCUACCCAAAUCCCUUCCUUCUCGCCCCCCAGCCCAGCCAAAAGUCAGCCUUUGCCCUUUUUUGAACUCCUCUUGGGAAAGCAGACCGUUACAACGGCAAAAGGAUUGGCCUGGGAUAUAUGGGGUUAAAAUAUUU